rnacentral:misc_RNA from 1 species
AGGCUUAGUUGAGUUGAAUUGAGUGGCACUGCUUGCCAACAUGGCACCAUUGUGUCAGGUUGAUGUGGUGAGGCAAGAUCUUGUGCAAGCAAGUGCGAGAGAAAACUAAUAGCUCAUUUGAGUUUUAGGGUGAAUCUAAACCGAACAAUCAAACCUCAUUGCAGAGUUGCCAAACUAAAGUUUUGAUGACUUGGAAGCAGUCAACAGUGUGUGGCAAUGCUCCGAAAAGUAUUAUGACAUCGAGAAAAAGCCGAA